rnacentral:lncRNA from 1 species
ACUCUCAACCAACUUAGCAUACGCCCCUUUCUUGGUCUCCACUUUUUUCUUAACCUCUUCAUUCCACCAUCAAUCUCCCCGAUGAUGCCCAACCCAGCCCCUAGAAACACCCAACACCUCACUAGCAUUCUCCCUGAUGCACCUAGCCACCCUAUCCCACAUACUAUCCACGUCCCCCCAUUCCCGCCAACUUCUCUCACGCAUUCACUGGCGUCAAGCCGCCCCAUUUAAUUUUAGGUCUACACUCCUCACCCCUUCUCUUCCUAUCCUUCCUUAUACCCAAAUCCAUAACCAAGAGUCUAUGCUGGGUCGAAAGAUUCUCACUCGGGAUAACCUUACAGUCCUUACACAACAC